AGCAAAUAUCAGAUCUGUUUUCUGAUACAAAAUUAUGUUCUAACAAGAGUUUCAAUUCCAUGUCUGAGAAACAAAAAUGCAUACCACUUCCUGCUAACAAUAAUCUUUUGACGACCGGGAAACUUGAACUUUGCACGGCGGAGGGCCUCCUGUGCAUGGUGGCUGUUGCUGUCCUUGCAACGAA